rnacentral:rRNA from 1 species
UACGUAGGGUGCGAGCGUUUGUCCGGAAUUACUGGGCGUAAAGAGCUCGUAGGUGGUUUGUCGCGUUGUUCGUGAAAACCUGAGGCUUAACCUUGGGCGUGCGGGCGAUACGGGCAGACUGGAGUACUGCAGGGGAGACUGGAAUUCCUGGUGUAGCGGUGGAAUGCGCAGAUAUCAGGAGGAACACCGGUGGCGAAGGCGGGGUCUCUGGGCCGAUACUGACGCUGAGGAGCGAAAGCGUGGGGAGCGAACAGG